rnacentral:rRNA from 1 species
CCUACGGGAGGCAGCAGUAGGGAAUUUUGCGCAAUGGGGGAAACCCUGACGCAGCAACGCCGCGUGAUCGAUGAAGGCCUUCGGGGUGUAAAGAUCUGUCAGUGGGGACGAAACCUGACGGUACCCAAAGAGGAAGCAUCGGCUAAAUCCGUGCCAGCAGCCGCGGUAAUAGGGGGGGUGCAAGCGUUGUCCGGAAUCAUUGGGCGUAAAGAGUUCGUAGGUGGCACGUUAAGUCUGGUGUGAAAGGCCGAAGCUCAACUUCCGUAGGGCACUGGAUACUGGCGUGCUUGAGUGCGGUAGAGGUAAAGGGAAUUCCUGGUGUAGCGGUGAAAUGCGUAGAUAUCAGGAGGAACAGCGGUGGCGUAGGCGCUUUACUGGGCCGUAAUUGACACUGAGGAACGAAAGCCGGGGUAGCAAAUGGGAUUAGAUACCCGUGUAGUC